UCAUAAACAAAGAUUCAACUGAAAGACCCCCAGAGCGGGGAGACCCUCACUCAAGUCUUGGGAUGACGCGACCCCCCAAGAACUCACACAAGACC
rnacentral:miRNA from 14 species